ensembl:antisense Gm26646 predicted gene, 26646
AAUAAAAAGAAAUGUCCAUACUAAAACUCAACACAUGAAUGUUCAGAGCAAUUACUGGGAAACACAGAUGACCAGCAGAGCACAGUGGUGCAUGCCUAUAACUCUAGGAUGUGGAAGGCUGUGGUAGGAUCUCUUUUGGUGGUUGGUUGGUUGGUUGGUUGGCCCUGGCUGUCCUGGAACUCACUGUGUAGACCAGGCUAGCCUCGAACUCAGAAAUCCACCUGCCUCUGCCUCCCAAGUGCUGGGAUUAAAGGUGUGGAUGGCUCUGGUGCUCCGCAGGGGCAUGGUUGGUGGGGCUGCACUCACAAAACGCUGGUAGAAGCGGACCAGCCGCGGUUUUCCAUGGUUGUUGAAAACCAGAAUCGCCUGAAUCAUCUUUGCCGGUCCCGCUUCUCUCGGUACCAGCUGCUCCAAGAACGCACCUUCUUCCGGCACAACA